rnacentral:lncRNA from 10 species
UUGAGAAAAUGAAUUUCCAGCAGUUAAAUACAGCGUGAUGCAGCCAAUCAACCUAUAACAGCCCAAACCCGGAUGAAGGAAAACAUUACAUGGCAAGUGGCACCACAACUGAUGAAUAAAGAUGACAAAUAAAAAGGCUAAUGAGAAUUGAAUAGUGCAUAUCCUGAAACCUCUAAAACCACAUUCAUUAUGCUAAGAAAUUAACUAAAUGCAUUUUUUAUUUUGUAAUAGAAACUUCCACUUGGCUAAUUGAAGCUUCCACUGCAUCUCCCACAGAGCCCAAGAAGUAUCAGUAUGUGACUACUGAAUGAUGGACAAUGAAAUAUAUUAAUACCAUAAAAAAGAAAAAAGGGCAAUUAGGUAUCUGUUGAAGAUUCUGAAAUUUAAGUAGGAAUAUAGGCCAAAGGAAACAGUUAUGUAAUACCAGAGUUUUCAGACAUAUUUACUAUAGAAUACUUGGUAAAGUGUUAUAAAGGAGAGGAGUGAAAGUAGAAAAAGAAAAAAAUAGUUUUAAAAUCUUUAUACUCAAAUAAAAUAAACAUAUAUGGAAUAAACUUGAAAUUAUUAAUAAAAACUCUUUAUAAAUAGCAUUUUAUAAUUCAUUUAUGUGUCCCAACAAGUGUUACUCAUUACUACAAUCUUGCACUCAUCUGCUAUUCCUUGAUGCUAACCUCUUUCUACACUGAAAGAAAUAGAGUUCCAAGAGUUGUCUGCAUCUUGGAACAGUGAAAAUAAAGAUAGAACAAGAGAACUGAGUCAUUGCUAGACAGUAAGAAUACUUUCAGGGAUGCAAAGCAGGCAAUUUAAAAGAGCUUCUCUGAACAAGGUGUGAUCAUCUAAGAAUUAAAUGUGAAAACAAUAAUUAUUUGAAAACCCAAGAAUCUAUAAUGAUAUUCAAAAAUGUGUUAAAGAAUGGUCAUAUACAAAUGAAUUUCAGGUAUUUAUAAAAAUUGUUGAAUAUGGACAUGCCCAGCUAUAUGCUUAACUCAUUUUAAUCAACAUUUAAGUCUCAUUAUACUUAUUUGACAGUAAAGUUAUUACUUCUAUGUCUAGUUGGGUUAAUAAAAAUCUAAACAGGUGAAAUCAAACAACAAAAAUAUUAGGGAAAGUGCAGAGAUUUAUAUUGAAUGUUUUAAACCCAUGGAAAUACAUUUCAACUAUUGGUUCCACAUUGGAAAAAUGGCAUCUUUAAGGUCCAAAGUUUUACUUGAUUAAAUUCUUAUGCUAUUGUUAUUUUACCUGUAUAAUUUAUAAACUAACUGGGCAAAUAUUGGUUUGAGUAAAUGGAUUUUAUUCAACAUUCUCUUACUCUCCAAACGCAUCCAAUCUUUGUUUCUAUCUCAUUUUCACACACACACACACAUACACACUAGAAAUGAUAAGGGCAAAACAUAUUGUAUGUUCAAUGAUUGUGGGAUUACUCAAGUUAAAAGGAAAGGCAUCACUGGAAAGUUCCUUUCAGUAAGUAAUGGUCAAUAAAGUCAAGUCUGGGUGGAGUCUUCUGGAAGCUUCACUCAGAUCCAAGAGAUAGAAUCUUGGGCCAUUAACUCUGUUACAGAAUCAAAGUUGCCAUAGCAGGUAUGAGAUGGUCAUUAGGUUUCACUCCCUUAAAAUAAUGCAUUUGUACUUUUCUUGUUUCCUUGCUCUUCCUGUUUUUGCUCCCAGUUCUUUAUGCCUCCUAUCAAUAUCACCAAGGCAAUGUUUCCUCAUUUGACAGUAAGAAUUUGUCUGGAAGUAUCAGUGGAUUUUAGCCUGUAGUUUCUCCAAUACUCCAUGAUCACAAAGUGAGAUCCCAGAAUAGGCCAUUUGCAAGCUGAGGAGCAAGGAAGCCAGUCUGAGUCCCAAAACUUGAAAAGUAGGGAAGCCGAUAGUGCAGCCUGCAGUCUAUGGUCGAAGGUCCAAGAGUCCCAAAGCUGAAAACUUGGAGUCUGAUGUUCAAGGGCGGAAGCAUCCAGCACAGGAGGAAGAUGUAGGCCCGGAGACUAAGCCAGAGUAGUCUUUUCACGUUCUUCUGCCUGCUUUUAGUCUGGCUGCACUGGCAGCUGAUUUAGAUUGUGCCCAAACAGAUUAAGGCUGGGUCUGCCUUUCCCAGUUCACUGACUCAGCUGUUAAGCUCCUUUGGCAACAACCUCAAAGACACAGCCAGGAACAAUAAUUUGCAUCCUUCAAUCUAACUGAGUUGACACUCAAUAUGAACCAUCACAAUGACCAAAUGUCAAUGUGCUAUUAAAAGUAUAUUUUCUCUUAGGUAGGUAACAUGUCGGAGAUACUGUUCUAGCCACAGUUUCAAGGGCCAUGUUUAUAUUCUGAGAACAGGGAGAGAGACAGAGAGAGAUAAUGCGUUUUAGAAGAAAGUUGGGAUUUCGUAAAAGAUAAAGACACUAGAAAUCAAUUACUUCUUUCUCUUAUUUGCAAAAACAAAAUUUAGGUGAAUAUCAGAAUAUUAGACUUAACUGGGUAUCAAAAACACACCAUGUUAUCUCUAUAUCAUAGUGUAUGGUUAAAAAAUUUUCAAUGAAAGUUUUAUCAAAAUAAUUUUUGAUGGUCAAAACAGUUAUUUAUGUAUAAAUACAUAGUUUUAUUUUUUCCUUAAUGCAAUUUUUGUUUAUAAAAAGUACAACAUUCAUCAGUAGACAACUUGCUGAGACAAGAAGUCUUUUCCUGAUGGAAGGUCUUUUCUCAAUCGAAGGGUUCGUGGUCCCACGGGCUUCAAGAAAUGAAGCCGUGGACCACAGUGGCGAGUGUUACAGCUCGAUUAGAGAAACGUGCGGACCCAAAGAGCGUGGGGCGGCAUAAUUAAAGCAAAAGUGAAAGCGAAAGUAAAGCUUCCGGGCGGUGGAAGGGGACCCGGAAGGGUUGCCAUUUUUGGCUUGGGUAUCUUAUGCUUAUAUCUCCUUAUGACCCCUCCCCUUUUCCUUUUUCUGUCCUAUAGAAUUAGCUUAUUUUCUAUCUGCUUGUGGGUUGGCGGGCCUGUUUGGUUAAAAACAUCAGGCUGCAGCUAGAGCUUAAACUUCCUAUAUGAUUGGUUGAAGUGUCCAUCCCUUGGCUUGCAGCUGUGACUCAU